rnacentral:tRNA from 1 species
AGUCUUAUAGUCAAAAUGAUGUUAAAUUGCAAAUUUAAAGGUAAAGGUUUACUUUUAAGGCUU